rnacentral:rRNA from 1 species
ACGAACGCUGGCGGCGCGCUUAACACCUGCAAGUCGAGCGAUGAAAUUUCGACAGAUCCCUUCGGGGUGAAGAUGAAAUGGAUUAGCGGCGGACGGGUGAGUAACACGUGAGUAACCUGCCUUUGACAUUGGGAUAGCCUCGGGAAACUGGGAUUAAUACCAAAUGACACUAACUGAUCACAUGAUCAAUUAGUCAAAGAAAUUCGGUCAAAGAUGGACUCGCGGCUGAUUAGCUAGUUGGUGAGGUAACGGCCCACCAAGGCGACGAUCAGUAGCCGGCCUGGAGGGGGGUUCGGCACCUUUGAACCGGGAACCAGGUCCAAAUCCUGCCGGAGGGAAGCAUGGGGGAUAAUGGCCAAUGGGGGAAACCCUGAUGCAGCGACGCCGCGUGAGCGAAGAAGGCCUUCGGGUCGUAAAGCUCUUUUAUGAGGGAAGAUAAUGACGGUACCUCAAGAAAAAGCCCCGGCUAACUACGUG